AUUGAACGCUGGCGGCAGGCCUAACACAUGCAAGUCGAACGAGUGGCGGACGGGUGAGUGAUGUAGGGGAAACUGCCUGAUGGAGGGGGAUAACUACUGGAAACGGUAGCUAAUACCGCAUACCAUCGGAUGUCACCAGAUUGGAUUAUCUAGUAGGUGGGGGAAAGGCUCACCUAGGCGACGAUCCCUAGCUGGGCGGAGAGGAUGACCAGCCACACUGGAACUGAGACACGGUCCAGCCUCCUACGGGAGGCAGCAGAGGGGAAUAUUGCACAAUGGGCGCAAGCCUGAUGCAGCCAUGCCGCGUGUAUGAAGAAGGCCUUCGGGUUGUAAAGUACUUUCAGCGGGGAGGCGUUACCCGCAGAAGAAGCACCGGCUAACUCCGUGCCAGCCGCCGCGGUAAUAC
rnacentral:rRNA from 1 species